AUGUUCGCGUCGUCCCCACUUUCCGGCCGAGGGAAAAGUUAUGGCACCCCUGCCACGUGCUCCUAUGUCUUCUUAACCUUCUUAAUCCUGAUGUGCCCACACGAUCUGAUGAUGUUCACCACAAUCGGAAGGAUCGGAAGGAAAUUCAAUUCAGAAGAUCGCAUGUAACGUAACCUCCCGAAUAUAUAUGUAAUAAAAUCAUUGAGCUCUAUUGUACUACAAUGGCUAAAAAACUCUGUAUGCCACGAAAACAAUUAGGAGUAAAACUGGUAUUAGGCAAGCGAGUACUAUACCAGUCGUAAUACCCGCCUGACGAGAACUAUACUCUUGUUGACCUGUGUGAUUUUCAAUCAAAUUUAUAGGAUUAAUAUAAGCUAGAAAUAAGAAUUCUAUUAACAAUCAUGUGUAAUCAACAAGUUGGCACAAUCAAUCAAUCAAUAUUAAUAAAGGAGAAUAGAGGUGAAA